rnacentral:rRNA from 1 species
CCUACGGGCGGCAGCAGUGGGGAAUAUUGGACAAUGGGCGAAAGCCUGAUCCAGCCAUGCCGCGUGUGUGAAGAAGGCCUUCGGGUUGUAAAGCACUUUCAGUGGGGAAGAAAGCCUUGGGGCUAAUACCCUCGAGGAAGGACAUCACCCACAGAAGAAGCACCGGCUAACUCCGUGCCAGCAGCCGCGGUAAUACGGAGGGCGCGAGCGUUAAUCGGAAUUACUGGGCGUAAAGCGCGCGUAGGCGGUCUGAUAAGCCGGUUGUGAAAGCCCCGGGCUCAACCUGGGAACGGCAUCCGGAACUGUCAGGCUAGAGUGCAGGAGAGGAAGGUAGAAUUCCCGGUGUAGCGGUGAAAUGCGUAGAGAUCGGGAGGAAUACCAGUGGCGAAGGCGGCCUUCUGGACUGACACUGACGCUGAGGUGCGAAAGCGUGGGUAGCAAACAGGAUUAGAUACCCCGGUAGU